UCUUUGCAUGCAGUCUUCGCAGACAAGAUCUCACUGCAGCCACCUUUCUACAGGAGUACAGAGAAAACAUCAGGGCAGUGAUUGCUGACCACAUACUGGACCCUCGAAACAGAGGGCUCUGCAUCCAUGUCCAUGAGCCUUCAUGCCCAUCUGGCCAUCAGGCCUUGGGAAGCAGCACCCCACAGCCUUGGCACAGCUGCAGAGACCUCCUUGCCUCAGAAUGGAGUCAAA